GAUGAACGCUGGCGGCGUGCCUAAUACAUGCAAGUCGAGCGAACAGACGAGGAGCUUGCUCCUCUGACGUUAGCGGCGGACGGGUGAGUAACACGUGGAUAACCUACCUAUAAGACUGGGAUAACUUCGGGAAACCGGAGCUAAUACCGGAUAACAUGUUGAACCGCAUGGUUCAACAGUGAAAGACGGUUUUGCUGUCACUUAUAGAUGGAUCCGCGCCGCAUUAGCUAGUUGGUAAGGUAACGGCUUACCAAGGCAACGAUGCGUAGCCGACCUGAGAGGGUGAUCGGCCACACUGGAACUGAGACACGGACCAGACUCCUACGGGAGGCAGCAGUAGGGAAUCUUCCGCAAUGGGCGAAAGCCUGACGGAGCAACGCCGCGUGAGUGAAGAAGGUCUUCGGAUCGUAAAACUCUGUUAUUAGGGAAGAACAAAUGUGUAAGUAACUAUGCACGUCUUGACGGUACCUAAUCAGAAAGCCACGGCUAACUACGUG
rnacentral:rRNA from 1 species